CAAAACUACCCCUGCAAGACGGAGGUAACAGAUUGCACAAACACAUUGAAACAUUUUCAGCUGUUCACUAACACUGUUACAUUUUCUGGAAUUUUCAAUGGAAUGGGAGAAUACGUAAGUAAGAUAGAGAAAAACUAUCGACAUUAUAAACAUAUUGUAAUGUUAACUUGUUAGAAUAGGAGAGGCGAAUACCCAAUAUUUCAAGAAGAAUAAACAAAAAGCGCAGUUUAUUUUGGAUUUUAAAGAGAGAAAACGAAAGAGGUUAACAAGGAGAAAAAGAAAUCAUUUGGACCAUUGGUAAAAUUCAAAUCUAUUGCGUGCAGCAACCAAAUAAUGGAGUAUGUUUUAAAUUAUUAAAGUUAAAUAGUGUAUAUUUAAUUCAAAUAUUUGUUAUAGAUUGUGCAUUUUA